rnacentral:lncRNA from 1 species
AAAAAACAAGCAGAGAACUCGUGGAUCAAACACCACAGAUUUCUCUACAAGCUACAAAUUCAAGCACUCAAGCUACAAGUUCAAGAUCUAGAACGUAGCCAAAUCAAAUACCAAGGCGUUCAAGAUCAAUUUACUUGUUCGUGAUCAAACACAAAUUCAAGUUCAAGGAGGAGAAUCAAAAUCAAGCUUUACAAGCCCUUGAAUCAAAUCAAAGUCAAGCUCAAAAUACUUAACAUUCUUGAAGAAUCA